ensembl:lncRNA
GCACCAUUAUCCGGGGCUCGUGGACACAGCAAAGCUCGUGGACGCAGUAAAGUCCGAGAAUUGGCACCUGGGUGCUUCUGAUUCUCGAGUCUGCAUCUCCUGGAAUUCCGAUGCAGAGCUCUCUAGGUCCCCGGCACUUCAGGUGCUAAGCAUAAGCUCCUAGGCGUCGCACCUACCACCUCAAAUAUUUCUCAGAUAUUAAGAUCCUACCAUGUGGUCCUCUGAGCUUCGUCUCUGGUGUCGGCUUCUUCCAUUUACUCCAACCAGGAGCACAUUCGCUCAUUCAGCCAGACAUGGCAGCAUUUCAGGACUUGGGGGGGGGGGGUGAGACAGGGUCUUGUUAUGUAGUCCAAUCUCUCUUGAACUCACUAUGUAGUCCAGAAUGGCCUGAACUUGCGAUUCCCCUCCCUCAGCCUCCCGAGUUUCGAGAUUACAGUUGUGUGGCACCACGCCUGACUGCAGUGUGAUCUUUUAAAAUCCAGACCUGCCUUGCUGGUCAACCAGGACCGCGUGUUCCUUCACGAGCCCGGAGCCCGACAGCCUCUCCUGCAUCCUCACGCCGGGCUCUGGCCACGCCCCCCUGCCAGGGGCUCACCCGCGCCCCUCCUCGGCAGCUGCGCCUCGCCGGGCCUCUCCGGGCCUCGCCGGGCCCCGGGAGGGGAAGGGGCUCCACCUGCGCGCCACCUGCUGGGCCGCCCGACCUCCCGCAGACCCGGCCAGACCUCGGCGAAGCUCACGCCUCCGGGCUGCACAUCCGCGCCGGCCGCAAGCUCCAGGACGCGGCGGCGAGCCUGAGCCGCUGCGCAUGCGCGCAGGUGCGCGUGCACGCAACAGCCCGCACGCACCGGCACGCACGCGCCCGGCCAGUGAGACUAGGAAGGACAGGUUUGGGUUUGGGGUUUUUUGUUUGUUUGUUUGUUUGUUUGGGGGGGCCUUCGCGCUGAGCUGCAUCCUCGGCCCUUUUUAUUUGCCGACAGAAUCUGGAUGAGUCAGUAAGUUGUCCUGGCGGGGCUUCUCCUUCCUCAGGCUCCCUCGUGCUGAACUCUGGGCGCGCGCCCAGCUGAGGACGUGGCCCGAGGGAGGGAGGUCAGCGGGAGCUUCACAACGUUUGGCCCUGGUUGUGCGCCCUGCAGGGUGUGCCGUGAAGCUGUUGGUGGUUCUGAGGGCAAUCAUAAGCCUGGGGAAGCGUGUACUGUACUGUGUAAUAAUGAAGACAGCAGUUAUCCGCACUUUGAAAGCAAGUUUUGCAAAAUAGUUACGCACUUCCUUUGAGUCCUUUCUGGCCUCUUACUUGAGGUUCGGGUUCCCCUUCUGUGGCACAGCCUGUCCUGUGUGGACCCAGUAUGGCCGCUGAGGCUGCAGGGAGCUGUUGCGGGGCAUUUGUCCUUUCCCCAAGGUCGCUCCCUUGAAUGUGAUGAGUUCUAAUAAGCCACAUCCUGUAGGACAUCAGCACACCUUUGGGGGCAACACAGGACUGAGAUGUAGCCUGCACAGGUCAGAGGUCCAAAGUGAGUUUCACUGGACAAACAUCAAGGUGUCAGUAGGUUGGGGCACUGCGACUCAAGCCUGGGUUCCUGGUACUCUGGAGGUGAAGGUGGACAAUCUGAUCCUGGGAGUUCAAGACCAACCUGGACAACACAGCCAGAGCCUGUCUGUAAAAAUGUAAAUAAAAUCAAUUUAAAAAGAAA